UAACGGGCAAUGAAGAGAAGAGUAAAUGUACGAGCCUGGCAAAGAGAGCCUUCGUGAUGGUGCAAGAGGGAGCAGGUGGUGACAUUGAAGAUGGUCUUGGAGCCGAUGGGCUGAGAUGCAUGCAUUUAGGCCGUCCGGGUGCACCCGUUACAGUGCUGGAGUAUUAAAGGGUAAACAAUCCCUGCGUACUUGAUGAGGUCCGUGUGGUGACAUAUGGAUGAAUUAGGGUGGUAUCACGAAGCAACGCUUUCGUCCCUGUA
rnacentral:ncRNA from 1 species